AAUACCCAGAGAUCUUGUUAAAAGGCAGAUUCUGAUUCAUUAGUUCUGGGAGGGGUGGGGCCUGAGAAUCUGCUUUUAUAACAAGCUCCCAGGUGAUGCUGC
rnacentral:pre_miRNA from 1 species